UCAGUCCAUAGCCAGUGAGCUGGUCAACCAAUUCAUAGCUGGCAUAUUUUUAGUAUUUAACUUCAAGGCUACUCGAAACAAUCAAGGAGGAAGGGUGUCAUUCUUUGAGCAUUCUUUCCAAAACCUCACCUCGUCUCUGCUCCUUUGCUCCAAUUAAUGCAGAAUAUAAUGACGUCAUACCCUGAUGGCAAUCUCUUCUUUCAUGCCUGGAGUUGGGCUGUGCCUGUUGCUACUGAGAAGGAUGCUGAAGCUAGCGGCAUGGAAGUGAGGCUGGAAGGGUCUGGUAGAGGCUGAUGGUGCGAUGCAAGGAGCACAUCUCGGGGGUGUUUCCCAUCACCCAUGCUCCAUCCGCCAAGGGCACAAGUUCCUGAUCCUACACAGGGAAUCUGGCCAUUUUAGGCAGCUCCCUCUGAAGUUUGAGAGCCACUACAUUUUGGACAUUGUAGGAAAGACCACCAGUGUUCAUAAAAUUUCCAUCCACUUGUCAAGU